rnacentral:pre_miRNA from 1 species
CACGUACUCCCUCCGUCCAAAAAUACUUGUCAUCAAAAUGGACAAAAAAGGAUGUAUCUAAAACUAAAAUACAUCUAAAUACAUCCCCUUUUAUUCAUUUUGAUGACAAGUAUUUCCGGACGGAGGGAGUACAUG